GUGCUAGCCACAUAUCCAUCACCAUUAGAAAACAAACUCUCAGGCUAUAGAACAUGUAUAUGUGAAAAAUGCAAUCCCAGAACCCCAGGCCCUUGCUGAUCACAACUGGCAGAGACUGUGAUGACGUCCAGAAGGAUGUUAGGAAUGUAUUCAGCCACACAUAACGGAACCUGACUUGGAGUGGAACAAACAGGCUUACAUCUCUCACCAAGAAUUCUGGAGGGAGCAGGUACAAGGUGAGAAUCACUUUCCCUUUACUGGACUUCAGGAAAAGCGUUCAAGACGGACCCCAGGUGACAGCCCAGCCACCACUGGUCUGUGCAGGUGCAUCUUGUUUUAUUGACCUACUUAUUCCCUUUUACCUGCAAUUUCCCUUUCCACCAUUGCCAGCAAUUCCAGGAUGUUAGAUGUCUAACCCUUUGGGGUGUGUGUGUGUGUGUGUUUGGGGAAAAUGUGUAAAUUGUCUGGGGG
ensembl:lncRNA